AUACUUUCAAAAUUACAAAUUUACAUAGAAAUUGAAAUAGUUACUUCCUGAGAACAAAUCGAAAUACUCAAUUUUGGUAGUGUACUUUAUCAAGCAUGAUUGUUUUGAAGUCAUUUCUAUGUUGCAUGUCUCUACGACUCGGGUGCGUCUUACUUGGUUACUUUAUCAUCCUGCACGGUUUUGCAAAUGUGUAUUUAGUGGUAUUGGAAUACGGACAAAUUUGUCAUCGUAUGAUCGUGAUAUGGUUUCUGCAUGCACAGAUUAAUAUAAUUGCUGGAAUCUUACUACUGACUGUCGCAUAUAAUCACUGCGGGUCAAGUGAAAGCACAUUUUGUUGGUAUCUCGGGAAUUCAGACGCUGUGCAGACCUUCAAAUUGAAUUUACGCCGGCUUCAGGAACAGCUUCGGGCUCGGGUCUUGGGUACUGGGUACUGCGUAUUGGGGAUCAGUGCCAAAAAAUUGAAAUCGAAAUCGAAAUGUAAACCUGACUGCUAUAAAAAUGGGCGUAGGGCAUCCGCUCUGACACGCGGCCAUAUUUUAAAUGUCAACAGGCGGCGGCAACUAACCGAAGAUCUCGAAACCCGGCAGCAGCCACUGGAGCCACAGCAGCCAAGGAUGCAGUUCCACACCGUAGUCGCCUUGUCCGUGUGCAUCAAAAAUUCAAUAAAAUACCAUUAAAUUACAAAAUGAAGACAA